GUGAUUUUAACCGGCGCUGAUGUGCCCAGCAGCAUGUGUGUGCACGUUCAGUGUCUUUCCAGGCAUCUCCUCUGUCCUCUUCAAUAGAAGAGAUGUUUGAAACAGUCUGUUCAAAUAAGUGAGAAGAUGAGGGCAAGACAGCAUGUCAGGCUUUUGCUCCAAAAAAGACAACCCCUGCAUGAUGUGAGUGAAGACGCCGUGCCAGUUCUUCUCAUGUGUUGUACAUUUUAUGUGACUAUAAAAA